UUCCGGUUGAUCCUGCCAGAGGUCACUGCUAUNGGGGUUCGAUUAAGCCAUGCGAGUCGAGAGGGUUCGGCCCUCGGCGUACUGCUCAGUAACACGUGGAUAACCUGCCCUAGGGGAGGGGAUAACCCCGGGAAACUGGGGAUAAUACCCUAUAGGUUACAGAUGCUGGAAUGCCCUGUAACCAAAAGCUCCGGCGCCCUAGGAUGGAUCUGCGGCCGAUUAGGUUGUUGUUGGGGUAACGGCCCAACAAGCCCGUAAUCGGUACGGGUUGUGGGAGCAAGAGCCCGGAGUUGGAUUCUGAGACACGAAUCCAGGCCCUACGGGGCGCAGCAGGCGCGAAACCUUUACAAUGCGGGCAACCGUGAUAAGGGAACCUCGAGUGCCUGUAAACGCAGGCUGUUCAGGUGUUUAAAACGCACCUGGAGAAAGGGCCGGGCAAGACCGGUGCCAGCCGCCGCGGUAAUACCGGCGGCUCGAGUGGUGGCCGCUUUUAUUGGGCUUAAAGCGUUCGUAGCUGGGUUGUUAAGUCUCUUGGGAAAUCUGGCGGCUUAACCGUCAGGCGUCUAAGGGAUACUGGCAAUCUUGGAACCGGGAGAGGUGAGGGGUACUUCGGGGGUAGGGGUGAAAUCCUGUAAUCCUCGAGGGACCACCUGUGGCGAAGGCGCCUCACCAGAACGGCUUCGACAGUGAGGGACGAAAGCUGGGGGAGCAAACCGGAUUAGAUACCCGGGUAGUCCCAGCCGUAAACGAUGCGCGUUAG
rnacentral:rRNA from 1 species